GCGUUAUCCGGAUUCACUGGGUUUAAAGGGUGCGUAGGUGGGUUGGUAAGUCAGUGGUGAAAUCUCCGAGCUUAACUUGGAAACUGCCAUUGGUACUAUUAGUCUUGAAUAUUGUGGAGGUCAGCGGAAUAUGUCAUGUAGCGGUGAAAUGCUUAGAGAUGACAUAGAACACCAAUUGCGAAGGCAGCUGGCUACACAUAUAUUGACACUGAGGCACGAAAGCGUGGGGAUCAAACAGG
rnacentral:rRNA from 1 species